GUCUACUGCCAUGCCACCCUGAACGCGCCCGAUCUCGUCUGAUCUCGGAAGCUAAGCAGCGUCGGGCCUGGUUAGUAUUUGGAUGGGAGGCCGUCUGGGAAUACCGGGUGCCGUAGGCU
ensembl:rRNA 5S_rRNA 5S ribosomal RNA